rnacentral:rRNA from 1 species
AGUGAACGCUGGCGGCAGGCCUAACACAUGCAAGUCGAACGGCCACACACGAAGAUCUUUCGCUUACGGGUGGCGAGUGGCGGGCGAGUGACGCAUAGAUCCGAAACCACUUAGGCGUGGUUGAGAUCGUAGGGCAUCUGCCGCUAAUGGCGCAUAUGUCCUACCGCAGAAUCCAGGGGAGCCUGAGACUUUUGCUGAUGGAAUGAGCCGAUGUCGCGUCGGCUAGUUGGCGCGGUAAAGGCCCACCAAGGCGACGCACCGUAGCUGAUCUGAGAGGGUGAUCCGCCACACUGGAACUGAGACACGGUCCAGACUCCUACGGGAGGCAGCAGUGGGGAAUCUUACGCAAUGGGCGAAAGCCUGAUGGAGCAAUACCGCGUGAGUGAUGAAGGCCUUCGGGUUGUAAAGCGCUGUUGUUCGGAAAGAAAAAAAGCGCGUUUAUCCCGGACUGUUAUGACGGUACCGAAAGAAUAAGCCCCGGCUAACUUCGUG